AUUUUUUUUCUCCAACAUUACUUUAAGUCCAACUGAUAUGACUAACUGUAUUUUAUCUUUUUACAGUCCGUCGCCAACCAGUGGAGGAGACACCUGUGCCAAUGAUUUAUGGGGGCCCCAGACAGGGGCAAGAUAGGUGGGCUGGCCCAGAAGCGGGCAGGCAGCAGCCCACUUAUACAAGAGGACAGUUGCAGCGUGCCAUUCUGCUCCUGCGGGUGGUGGUCCACCUCUUAGUGGACCACUUUUUUUAAUUUCUUAUUAAGAGC